UACGUAGGGUCCGAGCGUUGUCCGGAAUCACUGGGCGUAAAGCGCACGUAGGUGGGUCGUUAAGUUGAGGGUGAAAUCCCAGGGCUCAACCCUGGAACUGCCUUCAAUACUGGCGACCUUCGAGUCGGGAGAGGUGAGUGGAACUGCGAGUGUAGAGGUGAAAUUCGUAGAUAUUCGCAAGAACACCAGUGGCGAAGGCG
rnacentral:rRNA from 1 species